rnacentral:rRNA from 1 species
UUUUAUGGAGAGUUUGAUCCUGGCUCAGGAUGAACGCUGGCGGCGUGCCUAAUACAUGCAAGUCGAGCGAACGGACGAGAAGCUUGCUUCUCUGAUGUUAGCGGCGGACGGGUGAGUAACACGUGGAUAACCUACCUAUAAGACUGGGAUAACUUCGGGAAACCGGAGCUAAUACCGGAUAAUAUUUUGAACCGCAUGGUUCAAAAGUAAAAGACGGUCUUGCUGUCACUUAUAGAUGGAUCCGCGCUGCAUUAGCUAGUUGGUAAGGUAACGGCUUACCAAGGCAACGAUGCAUAGCCGACCUGAGAGGGUGAUCGGC